rnacentral:rRNA from 1 species
GUUGAACGCUGGCGGCAGGCCUAAAACAUGCAAGUCGAGCGAGCGGCGGACGGGUGAGUAAUGUCUGGGAAACUGCCGGAUGGAGGGGGAUAACUACUGGAAACGGUAGCUAAUACCGCAUACAAUCAGAUGAGCCCAGAUGGGCUAAGCUAGUAGGUGGGGUAAUGGCUCACCUAGGCGCAGAUCCCUAGCGGGUCUGAGAGGAUGACCAGCCACACUGUAACUGAGACACGGUCCAGACUCCUACGGGUGGCAGCAUUGGGGAAGAUUGCACAAUGGGCGUAAGCCGUGUGCAGCCAUGCCGCGUGUGUGAAGCAGGCCUUCGGGUUGUAGAUCACUUUAAGCGGGGAGGCGUUACCCGCAGAAGAAGCACCGGCUAACUCCGUGCCAGCCGCCACGGUAGUUC